rnacentral:rRNA from 1 species
AGAGUUUGAUCCUGGCUCAGGACGAACGCUGGCGGCGCGCUUAACACAUGCAAGUCGUACGGGAUCACCCUUUCGGGGGUGGUUUAGUGGCGAACGGGUGCGUAACACGUGAGCAAUCUGCCUUGGGGUGGGGGAUAACCCGUGGAAACGCGGGCUAAUACCGCAUGUCGUCACGAUCCCGCAUGGGGAUGUGACGAAAGGGGCUUAACGGCCCUGCCCUGAGAGGAGCUCGCGGCGUAUCAGCUAGCUGGUGGGGUAACGGCCUACCAGGGCAACGACGCGUAGCCGAUCUGAGAGGAUGAUCGGCCACAUUGGGACUGAGAUACGGCCCAGACUCCUACGGGAGGCAGCAGUGGGGAAUCUUGCGCAAUGGGCGAAAGCCUGACGCAGCGACGCCGCGUGGGGGAGGAAGCUCUUCGGAGUGUAAACCCCUGUCAGGAGGGAAGAAUGGGCGCACCAGGAAAUGGGUGCGUUUUGACGGUACCUCCAAAGGAAGCACCGGCUAACUCUGUGCCAGCAGCCGCGGUAAUACAGAGGGUGCGAGCGUUGUUCGGAAUUACUGGGCGUAAAAGCGCGCGCAGGCGGUCCUUUAAGUCUACCCGUGAAAUGCCGGAGCUCAACUCCGUGCACGCCGGGGGAUACUGGAGGACUGGAGACGAGUAGAGGCAAGCGGAAUUCCGGGUGUAGCGGUGGAAUGCGUAGAUAUCCGGAAGAACACCGGAGGCGAAGGCGGCUUGCUGGGCUUGGUCUGACGCUGAGGCGCGAAAGCGUGGGGAGCGAACAGGAUUAGAUACCCUAGUAGUCC